GCAGUCGUACGAGAAAGGUUCCUUCGGGGGCCGAGUAAAGUGGCGAACGGGUGAGUAACGCGUGGGUAACCUACCCUUGAGUGGGGAAUAACUCGGGGAAACCUGGGCUAAUACCGCAUAACACCGUCGCGGCUUCGGUCGUGGCGGCCAAAGGUGGCGCAGUUCGACUGCUACCGCUUGAGGAUGGGCCCGCGUCCCAUUAGCUUGUUGGUGGGGUAACGGCCUACCAAGGCUCCGAUGGGUAGCCGGCCUGUGAGGGUGUCCGGCCACACUGGAACUGAGACACGGUCCAGACUCCUACGGGAGGCAGCAGUGGGGAAUAUUGGGCAAUGGGCGAAAGCCUGACCCAGCGACGCCGCGUGGGUGAUGAAGGCCCUUGGGUCGUAAAACCCUGUCAUGAGGGACGAAAGCUUGGACUCUAACAUAGCCUGAGUCUGACGGUACCUCAGGAGGAAGCCCCGGCUAACUCCGUGCCAGCAGCCGCGGUAACACGGAGGGGGCGAGCGUUAUUCGGAAUUAUUGGGCGUAAAGGGCAAGUAGGCGGCCCUGCGUGUCUUCUGUGAAAGCCCUCGGCUCAACCGGGGAAUUGCAGAAGAAACUGUUGGGCUUGAGUCCGGGAGAGGCUAGUGGAAUUCCCAGUGUAGCGGUGAAAUGCGUAGAUAUUGGGAGGAACACCAGUGGCGAAGGCGGCUAGCUGGACCGGGUACUGACGCUAGACUGCGAA
rnacentral:rRNA from 1 species